rfam:Nicotiana attenuata strain TT chromosome 5, whole genome shotgun sequence.
GCGCCGUAGCUCAGUGGAUAGAGCUCCUGUUUCCUAAGCUGAAGGUCGUAGGUUCGACUCCUACCUGGCGCG